UGCACAUAUGGCAGAGCAAAAAUUCAAAUUAAUGAUCAAGGACGGGAGUUUGUGAAUGAAGUUAGCACUAAUUAUCACAAACUCGUGGGGACCAUGCAGAGGGUGACAAGUGCUUAUCACCCUCAAGCAAAUGGCAUGGUUGAAAGGGUUAAUAGAACAAUCCAGAAUGCACUUCUAAAGUGUAUUGAAGAUGAUCAAUUAGUUUGGAGAGAUGCCUUGCCUGGCAUAUUAUUUGCCUAUAACAUAUCUUGUCAUGACUCAUAGAAAUUUACGCCCUUUGAGCUGAUGUAUGGUAGAACAGCAAUACAAGCUUAUGGGGAAAAUGAUAUACUGACAAUGUUGAUGAGAUAGAUAGGGAAAACUAUUUUCAAAGUAUUGUUUGCAAGAUGCAGGACAUACAUAAUAUUGCCAUGGGCAAUAUUAAUCUUGCCCAGCUCAAGCAGCAUAGGGAUUAUAGAACCUGCCAUACUGGGAAAAAUGCUCCCUAUAAAAUAAAUGAUAAGGUGCUUAUCUGGAACAGCCGUCGAGCUGAUAGGAGACACGGCCUUGGCUGGGUCCUUUUACAAUAGUUGGGAUUGACAAAAGCAAUGUAGAGCUAAUAAAUGCUAGUGGGAAACAGGUAAAAACCCGACCAAAUAUUUGUAACAUAAAACAUUAUGUUACAAGAAAAGUUAUAGUUUUAAAAAGAUUAAUUUUAU